UACAGAGGUCCCAAGCGUUGUUCGGAUUCACUGGGCGUAAAGGGAGCGUAGGCGGUCGGGUAAGUCUGACGCGAAAUCUCCAAGCUCAACUUGGAAAUGGCGUCGGAUACUAUUCGGCUCGAGGAAUGGAGGGGAGACUGGAAUUCUCGGUGUAGCAGUGAAAUGCGUAGAUAUCGAGAGGAGCACCAGUGGCGAAGGCGAGUCUCUGGACAUUUCCUGACGCUGAGGUACGAAAGCCAGGGGAGCAAACGGG
rnacentral:rRNA from 1 species